GUGCUCACUUUGAUAGCACAUAUACUUCAGGGAAGAUUGGCAUGGCCCCCUUGCAAGAAGGAAACACAAAUUCAUGAAGCAUUCCAUAUUUUG
rnacentral:snRNA from 1 species